AGUGAACGCUGGCGGUAGGCCUAACACAUGCAAGUCGAACGGCAGCACAGUAAGAGCUUGCUCUUACGGGUGGCGAGUGGCGGACGGGUGAGGAAUACAUCGGAAUCUACUUUUUCGUGGGGGAUAACGUAGGGAAACUUACGCUAAUACCGCAUACGACCUACGGGUGAAAGCAGGGGAUCUUCGGACCUUGCGCGAAUGAAUGAGCCGAUGUCGGAUUAGCUAGUUGGCGGGGUAAAGGCCCACCAAGGCGACGAUCCGUAGCUGGUCUGAGAGGAUGGUCGGCCACACUGGAACUGAGACACGGUCCAGACUCCUACGGGAGGCAGCAGUGGGGAAUAUUGGACAAUGGGCGCAAACCUGAUCCAGCCAUACCGCGUGGGUGAAGAAGGCCUUCGGGUUGUAAAGCCCUUUUGUUGGGAAAGAAAAGCAGCAGGUUAAUACCCCGCUGUUCUGACGGUACCCAAAGAAUAAGCACCGGCUAACUUCGUG
rnacentral:rRNA from 1 species